UGCACCCGUAGCUCAGCUGGAUAGAGCACCAGACUACGAAUCUGGGGGUCAGGAGUUCGAAUCUCUUCGGGUGCGCCAU
rnacentral:tRNA from 1 species